GAACCCGUGGCGCAGCGGUAGCGCGUGAGAUUCCAGAGAAAUGUUCUUCGGAUAUCCUCAAGGUCAUCCGUUCAAUCCGGGUCGGGUUCA